UCUUGACUGGCUGCCCCUUCUCUCUAUUUUCCUAUCUCACUCAGCCACCGAAGCCCACACACAUAAACACUCUAGCUCCAUCUAUUUCUCUAACUCCCUCACCGGUAAACCAGCCAUCCACCACCACUUUUGGCAGAUUUCACCGGAGAACCCCAUUAGAAACCCCAUAUGCUCCAUUCUCUCAAAGCUUUAAAGGUUCUGAUAUUCUUGGUGAUGGACCUAAUGACUGGAUUAGUUGAUUUUGUGGUGCCCAGUUGAGGCAAAAUUGGUUGGCCUUCCAAGUUUUACAGAUAAAUUAGCUAUACGUCUGGCAUGGAGCUUAGUUAUUGGUGGUGACUGGAGUACUAUGCUAAGUGGGAGAUUUGUGCCAUAAAUUGUUGGUGCUCAGUUUACUAAAUUAUUUGAGGCCAUAACUAUUUCUAUUGGAGGUUGGAUACUUGAGGUUUGUUAGCUUUAGGCAUUGUAGGCCUAACUCCAAUAUUGAUGUUGUAUAUUCUAGAAGGGAUUGUGGUUUUGUGUUACCCAUUUGGAGUUUUGAAAUAUAUUCAUGUAUUAUUUGGAGGCACAUGAUUUGAGUUAUUGUUUGUAAAUGUGUUAUAGAGCUCUAACUUGUAAUAUGAAGAUUUUAGUAUGGUUAUUUAUC